AUGGAUGCGAAUGGAUUCAGUCAAAUUGAGAUUGGAUUCGAAACCGAAGGUCCAGGAUUAGAGGUUACAAAAUGUGGGGCCCGUUGGGCAUACAAGAAAACAUUGAAGAUCUGAACCAAACUAUGCAUGGGUGCGGCAGCAGCAGCUGUAGCAUCACUCCUUAUGAAAAUGAUUUGGAAGAUUCAGCAAAAGAUACCAAAACUGAGUGNUGUGUGUGUAUGUAUGUAUGAAUAUUUUGUACGACUUAUUUGGUUUUGUUAAUAAUAGAGAGAUAGAUGUUGAGAUCAAAUAAUACAGAUUGUUGUUCACAAGGGAUGUUACUCGGUAUUACUUCUCAAUUCUCAUCAUAUCUCAAGGUUUUUCCAUUUAAAUAUGCGUUGGUGAUUACUUAAACCUUAAAGCUCAAUGUAUUAUUCAAAAUUCUUUUAUUUUAGUUAUAUAUUUAUCUGCCAUCUUCUAUUCAAUUAUUUUAUAUAUAUAUGUGUGUGUGUGUGUGAUACCUUAGUCUCACACACAUUAUGCAUUCAUUAUGUAAUUUAAAAGUAAAAUAUUCAUUUAUUUUUAUUAUCUAUUUUAUCAUUUAAUUUUAAUUAAAUUAAUAAUAAUAAAAAUUGUUUACAUAUGAAUUUUGAUAAAGCUGUGCAUUGCACAGUGUUAGGAGUAUUAUGUGUUGCUGCUGAUGGCAUGAGGAAUGAGGGUGCUUGGGCAGCAUUGGGCCAAUCACUUGACUUCAUGUUUUCUCAACACACUCAUGGCUCCUCAUGUCUGACUAGUGAUGCUCCUAAGGGCUCUUUAAGGGGGACUUUUUAGUCUCCCUACUUGAGUUAGAUUGAUGAGCAGUGAUGAGGGGCAGCAUGUAGAGGCACCUUGCUCCACAUGAUGCCCCAAGGCCAUGGCAGAGGAGGGCCAUGGUGGGCAGAAAUGGUUAUGAUGAUAGGCAGCAGCAGGUGGUGUUGACCCUAUGUGGUGGUGCAUGGCAUUGGUGGCUUAGUUGUGGGUUCCUUGUGUGUGGGCUUGGUGGCAGGAGUGCAAGGCAGGGCAGGGCUAUUGUGAUGAUUGAAUGUUGUGUGCAAGGCAUUGGGCUAGUGGGGGCUAGCUGAAUGCAUGGACAAGUGCUAGUGGGCUGAUAGUAGUUACUUUGUGCGCUGCAUAUAGGCACGCUAUGUGGGCUGUAGUGCUGAUGGAAGGCUUUAAGCAUGGGCCAAGCCUCUCCAAAAUGUGUGGGAACAUGUUGUGUGGGCUGCUGGAGGAUGGACAGAGGCCCCAUGGUCUGCUAAGACAUGGGUUGUGCAUGUGUAGCAUGUGCAAUGGCAGUUACCAAGAAGUUAUUAAGCAGUUCCUAACUUUCCUGAUGAUCAAACCUACUAUGUAGGGGUUGGAAACGUGGAGAGAAAGCCAAGACAACAUCAAUUGAAGGUGUCCUAAGUCAGAACAUAAGUAGCAGAUUGUCCAAGACCUAGGCAGUUACUGCCUAGUAACUGCCAUAGCAGUUAAUUAUGUAUAUUUAACUCUAAAGCUGUUGGGGGUAUCAACAGUAGAGUGUAUUUGGCCUCGGGAAAAUUAUGUGUAAUUCUCUAGGCUUGUAAAAAGGUUUCCUUUAUACUUGAGAUUAAGUAAUAAAGGUUGGGGAUGGAUUCCCUGUAAAUAUUGUGUGCUGUGUGUUUAAACGUCCCUAUAUAAUUUGUUCCAAGUGUUAUUGUAGUGUGUGGUGUUGGCUGAGACUAAGUUAGGGACUGAAGGCCAUCACCGGCUGCGACUUGAUGCAUUUGGGGGCCUAAGUCGAAAAUUGAUUAUUUUGAAUUAGAUGCAAAAUUACUACUAAUUAAUAUGAACUACGUAGAAUUUUUCUUUUUUUAGAAAUUUUAUAGACAGAAAAAGUUUGACAAAAUUUUUCAUACUUGUUGAUGUGGCAGAUUGAUAGUGGUAAAUAAAAAAGCGAUGUUAGUGGUAGACUUAGAUGAGAACUAGUAAAAGUUUGCUAACUCAACUCUUAUUAUUAUUAUUUUCUUUUAUAGAAGUGCAAAUUUCACAAUAUUUUUUACAACAAAUCCUAGGUUUUAAGUUGCUUUUUGUUUUCUAUUUGAAAAUAUCACUAUAAUUAUUUUUUUUCCAUCAAUAACAACUUACUAAUUAACAUUAGUUGUAAAAGUAUUGUAAAAAAUAUUGUGGGCGUUGCAUUUUUCUCUUUUUUAUUUGUUUUUCAUCUGGUAAAAGAAUAUUAUUUUAUUUAUUGAUUAUAAAUAACCCUAUUGGUUAAAAUUUGGGAGCCUUUUUUUUACUUGGGGCCUUAGGCGAUUGUAUUUCUUGCUCUAGCAUUUAGCCGGCUCUAGCUAUCGUAGGUAAAAAAUUUGAGUGAAAAAUUGACAUUGUGGCACACGGGUGUAAUGCUAGUAUGUGUGUGUAUAUGAGUAUAUAUAUAUAUAUAUAUAUAUUUUUAAAAAAAUAUUAAGUAUUUUUAAUACAUAUACGAAGAGAAGAGAUAAGAUUUUUUUAAAGAUACUUACUGAUUAUAUCCAAAAUUGCCUAAUAUACAAACAUAAAUAUAUAUAUACAUAUAUAUAUCUCUCUCUCCCUCUCUCUCUCUUCGAGGGCUGAUGAACAGCCACUGCCAAUGAUACAAAGCCUUCAUUAUCAGAAUGGGAAAUCAGACGACGUUUGCUAGGUCUCACUCUAAUCUUCCACGACAGUAUUGGGACGUUUUACUGAUGUGGGCUUCACCAGAUUAGAAAUUGCCCUUCUGGCCAGAACGUUUCAUUCUUUUCCAUGUACCAGUCUGGAGUGGAAAUACACUAGAGAUAGCAGAAUUUGUUAUAUCUCCACGUACAGGAGCGUGGACCAGAGUUGGAGAGAAGGGGUGUGGGGUGGCACGUGACUUUGAGUGGGAUGGAUAUACUUAAAAAGGAUUACUAGCUGGAUUAUGAUGAUCAAGGAUAGGCAAAUCAGGUUCAGAGUUUGAAUUAAGUCCACUCAUAUAGAAUUUCUCCAUUACCAACUCGAUCGAGAUUCAUUCCUUUUCUUUCCCGCUGCUGAGAGUUUAAAAGGCUAGUUUCAAGAAAAAUUCAAAUGAGAAAAGAUUGUUACUAAAAUAAAAGAUCCAAGGAGAAAAGAUUGCGGUUCCAAUUCACAACCAGAAAGUCUAAGGACGAUUCAUUGACUCUCUGGCCACCGUUGGUGGAGGAGCGAGAUCCAUUUUCGUUGUCGAAAGGCCAGCUUGGACUCCAGAAGAUUUGCACGCCUCUCCUCCCGGUGAAUUGCGUCUCCGCCCUUUGCAGACCGCUUUGGUAAGCAAAAGACAAUCCGAUUUUUUCAAUAUUCCUUUUUUAUUUUAUCAUCUGAGUCUUUCAUUUUUUCAAUCCAAUUUUGCUAUUUUAUAUUAACAUGUCUGGGGCUGAUCAAAACCCAAUUAAAUAUAUAUAUAUAUAUAUAUAAGAGAAUCACGGUUUUUUUUUUUUUGUUUUUUUUUUUUUAAUUUUUUUUUAAAAAUUUCACAAAUACCCACUAGCACAAAAUAACUGAGCAUUCGUUAGAUUUCAUCUUGAGCAUGUAUUAACUGAAACAAAAGGCUUCAAUAUGCUAAAAGAUAGGCCAACCCCAUCACCUGUUCGACAAAAUGUCUUAGUGAAAUUAUAAUCUUCUUGGUUAAAUUUUUUAUGUCUGUUUUGUGAAAGUCCUUCGUUUUCGUUUGGAUAAUUUAUUGUUUCUUUUCAUGCCAACCCAGAAUAAGAUUUGUUUUGCUGAUAGUUUAUUGGGAUUUUGUUGAUUAUGCCAACUUGGUUUAAAUGAAGUAAGAUGGCAUCAGUUUCUUUUAUUUGUCAUUAUGUGUUUGAUUAUUUUAGGAUACAAACAAGUUUAGGAAGUAAGCCAACUUUAAUUUUGUACAUUUUUGCUUUCUAAAGUACAAAUAGUGAUUUAUCAUGUUAAAUUUAUAGUUUAUUUGAGUAGUUUGUUUCUGUGUUUCUAUUUUGUGGUUUGAUUCAAAUUUUUGGAUUAAUCUUCUUAAAUUUAAUUAUAAUCUUGAAAUUAAUUUUAAUUACUUAUUCAUGUGAAGAUGUAAACAGACUGAUUUCACUGUCAGAGUACUUUCUUCAAUGUGAAGAGUUUCUUCAUAUUGCAAAAGCAAUAGCAAAUAACAUGUGGACUUUGUAUUAGGGACUCUAUAAGGUUAAGCGGGACUUGCAAAGACUUUUGGCCUCAUUUUUUUUUUUUUUUUUUUGAGCAAAGACUUUCGGCCUCAUUUAAUAUGCUUGUAUUGUGAGCUUUAGAUGCUAUUAGUUUAGAAAUAAAUGUAAGAGCUCACUUUGAACCUCAAGCGGUAUCUUAGAUAUGAAACUCCAAAGGCACACAAAUGGUUAGGGAUAGCAGCAUUCACUUAUAUUUGCCUCUUAAUUUAAAUCUCAUCUUUCAUAAUUGCUAAUUAGCAUGUUACAUUUUCAUAUUAAAAAAAUAAUCAUUUUAUUUUAAAAAAUAAAAAAAUCGCCUUCAAUUAAAAUAUAAAAGUAACACAAGCAUUUGUUAGAUUUAAUUUUCAAUAAUUUUGAGGUGCAUAGCAGCGGUUAGCAACUAGUAUCUCUAACACCGGUAACCCUUGUGAAAUGUAUCCCUUUCUUCCAUAGUUUUAGGCUUUUAGCCUCUGUCUCUGUCUAUGUCUCUCUUAUGCACACACUGCUGUGUGAGCACUCAUCACUAUUGAGCUCAUUGCCAACCUGUUUACAGUUCCAAUCAAGCCAUGGUAAGUCUGUUUCUCUUCAUUCUUACUGGAUUUCCAUUUUUUUUCCUUUGGUUAUAAUUUCCUCACAUAGAGAGCCUACCCUAUAGCCUUUUCAGCAAGACCCAGAUCUUUGAUUUGCUGGGUUUUCCUUAUUUUCCUUGAAUUUCAUUCCAGUUGGGUCAUUUAACUUUUGUGGUUUCUAAGAAACUUGUCAUUGUUGCUUAAAAUUUAAUUUGCUUCAUUUUCAUUUAUCUUCUUUAUGUGACCUAUUGAUAUGUCUUAAGUGAUUUGAUGAGAUGCAUUGGGUUAGCUAAUUUGGUGUUAUAUAUUUCAGCUGAAAAUUUAAGUCCUUGAAAUUUAAAGUGAUCACUUUUACUCCUUAGAUGACGUGACCAAACUAAAAAAUGAGAUGUCAUCACUCCAUAGGGAUUAAAGGUGAUCACUUUAAGUGUGUUUUUGGGACUAAAAUCGAUGACUUUAAGAUUUUUAGGGACUAAAAGCAGUCACUUUAAACUUUUGAGACUAAUAUUGCUCAUAGACUAAACUUUAGGGUCCAAUAGUGUAUUUUGACGUAUUUUUUAAUUGGACAAAUUCGUGAUACAAGUUUUUUUCUUUUGCUGUGUUCCCCAAUCAUUUUCAAAAUUUUCAGUUGGGGGACCAGAAGAGUUAGCUGUAUUUCAGUUGGGGAAUUCUAAAAGAUGAAUAUAGGACGAAGGUGUCUUUCAAUGGAUAAGUAUAUUGUCUUUCCUCGUAACAGUAAUUAUUUGUUGUGACUCCUUACAAAUGUAUAAAAAUCUUGAAAUUUUAUUCCCAUUGCAUCAUAAUUGAAAUCUCUAUCCUGUGAAGUUCGCCUACGUCUACAUUGCCACUUUAUUAAUGCUAGGUGGUGUUUUAAUUAUGUCAACCGUGAGGUCUUUUUUAUUUUUAUUUUUAAUAAGUAAAUUAUGCUGACCAUUUGUGAUUUGUAAUAAAUUUCUUUCACAUAUUUCAAAUUGCAGGAUUCAUUCCUUAGACCAGAACAGAGGAAGCUAGAGCCACCACUAACAACCAAGUAAAAGAAAGGUGUUGAACAGUUGGCAUUCAAAGUGAUUUGAGGCUGUACCAAGGUCUGUUUUGGUGAGUAUGUUUGUUAAGAAAGCUAAACUCUUCGUUGCAGUUUUUUUAUAUGCAUUUUUUCAAGUAAUGAAAUGGGCUUUAACAUAAGUGUGAAAUUUUUUUUAUUGUUUUUUUUUUUUUUUGGAUAAGUAGCAUAAUGGAGGCUGUGGAUUGGGAAAAUUCUUCGGGAGUAUCAAGUGAUACUGAGGAAUAUUUGCAAGAUACAAAAUAUGAGGAUGAUGAGGAACUCCAUUUGACAUCUGGGUUUAUAUCCAAGUUGCAGUUUAGGUAUAGAAUUUUUCAUAAAAUUGACUCUUUAUGAUAUUAUCCCCCCCCCCCCCCCCCCCCCCCCCCCCCCUAGUAGCGGCAAGAUUUAUUACUCAAUUGAGGAAACUUUGUAUGUGAAAUGACAUUUUUUUUAAUGAAUUUUAUAUAUAUAUAUAUAUAUAUUUUUUUUUUAUCUCUUAUUGUUUCUUGGUUUUUCUUUCAAAGGAAUUAAUGAAUAAGUUAAUUAUUUGUUUUUGGUGAUAUUAUGAAACCCAGUAUUUACAAAUCUAGAGCUAAAUAUAUCUUGCUGUUCUUUAUUCAUAGUGUCUUUUAUUGUCACUUAUUUAUCUUGGUAUCUUUAUUUGAGGGACACUUAAUUUUCUGAAGAAUCCUUUGCUAAUUAAACAUUCUAUAUUGUAAAGCAGAGCUGGACUUAUAUGGUUGUCCCCAAAAAAUAUGACUUUCGAAUUUUUUUUGAGCAAAUUAGUUUGAAAUUUCAUAUUGUGGCUUCGGUAAGAGAUUAUGGAUUACCCUGCAUAAAAGUUGAAGGACAAAGAGGUAUCAGAGAGAUACUUCAAACAAUGCUUUUCAAUAACUGAAAUUUCAACCUUAUUCAUAGUUUUAAGCGACACUUGCAAAUUUAUACAUUAUGUUGUAAGUGAAAGGUAGUAUUAGGUAAGUAACUGAUAAAAGCAAUUAUUUUUUUUUAUAAAUAUAUUUCUUUUUAAGUUUUUGAAAAGAAGUAACUAUGUAUUUGUGUCCUUUUUCAUUAUAUGUUGAGAUGGAAUCAUUUGUGAAGUGUAACUUCUUAUGUUUCUAGGUUUUUGAUGGAAAUAGGCGCAUUGCUUCUCUUGGAUGACAAUGGUACAAGUCUUUCAUUAAAUGAUAUAUAUGCAAAGGUUAUUGGAGGCUCUUGGGAGCUAUUUGAGGUUUAUAGGCACUUGAAAUCUCUUGGUUACAUUGUUGGGCGGCAUGGCAUUGCUUGGUCUAUUAAGGGUGCUAAGAGUAACUGUCAAUCUGUUUCUCUUCAAUGCUCUCCACAAAGCAGUGAAGUGGUAAACUUAGAAUCAGAAGAUGAGAGUUCCAUUGUUGGAUCAUUUAAUAAUAUGCAUAUUAAUGAAGCAAGGCCAGUUUUUGAUGUCUAUCUCCCAGAUAGCAAGUUUAGAAAAUCUUCUCCAGGCGAUCCAAGCUUUGUGAUCUGCUUAACUAGGUAAUUGUAUUUGGUAGCUCCUAAGAAUGAGUAACCUUCUCUUAUUGGUGGUUGAUUGCAAAUUGUUAUUUAUCUUAUUAUCAUAUGAAAUGUGCUUUUAUAUCAAAGCACUUUAUAGGAUAAAAAACUUUCUUUUUCAGAUUAUCUUUUGCUGAAAAAAUUUAAUUGCAACAAUCCUAUUGUUAGCUUCUAGUUUUUGAUAUCUUGAGGAAUUUGUUGGGAAAGGAUUUACACCAUAUGCAUCCAGAUUAUUAUUUUAUGUUUUUCUUAUGUAUAUACAAAUAUGUUAUUUUAUAUAAACUCCGUCUGUGUCAGUGCUUAGUGUUGUAUAGUUUGCUCAUAACCGGUCAUAAACCCAAAAAAAUGAGCAGCUUUGUGGUGAAUUGACGGCCAUCAUAAAAUGAAGUCACAUAAUUAAUCAGAUUUCUGCCCCUAGACUUUGACUUAGGUGGGGGUUUGCUUUAGAAUAAGUAUUAAGUUCAUAUUUUACCAAUAGGAGAAAAGGAAUUCUGUACUUUGUUUUUAAUUUUAGAAAUGUAUUAACUUACUCAUUUACUAAGCAUGAAAGAAUAGUUCUCUAUUAGUUUCUAUGAAAAUUAAAUGUUGUUCAAUUUUUGGAUGCUGUACUAGUUAGUAUGAUUUUUUUGUUUUAUUACUUAUUUGUAUAUUUUAAAAUGUCAUGUUUUCCAAUUUUGUUUUUUGACAAUCUUCUUAGAAAUGUGGGUAGAAGGCGUUUUUGUCUUUUAUAAUCACAUACAUGUGUUAGUAUAAUGUGAAGAAUGCAUAUAAUUCCUGUUUGUAACAUUUUUGAAAUAUGAGACACAAAAAAUAACUACGUUAUGGUAGGAUUUUUCAAAUCUUGACUAUCAAACAUUUGUUUUUGUUUUUCAAUUAGUAUGAAGAUAAUAUCUAUUAACGUCUAAAGAGGGUGAAAUGGAAAAGGCUCCAACAAUUCUCCCAGAAAAUUUCUAUAUCUUCGUUUAAAAUCAUAUUUUAAUGAUUUAAUUACUCCCUUCUUGGUUAUCAGCCACUUUAUUACUUGGUUUAAAAUCAUAUUUAAAUUUUAAGUGGAAAUUGGCAUUCUGCAAAGAUAGACUUAUAAUCUCUGAAAAGUGUUAAGUAAUAAUCCCCAAAGUAAAAGUAAUUUUUGCUUGAAGAUCAGUAAAAUUUGGUAUUAUAUUUCAUUAAUCCAUCAAAACUUGUUCUCUUCAGUUGCUUUGAAAGAGAUCAAUGACUUAUUUAUUGAUAUGCAUAUCUGGUCAAAAAGUUUUUGAAUCUUUUAUGCUUGCCUUCUCUUGCAGGGGUGAUCUACCAUCCAUAGCAGAUAUUGAAGUCCUUGAGAGGCAAUGUGGGGCCAUUCCUUUGCGGUUUUGUCAUGUAGAGUAUGGGCGAGUCAGUUUCUUUUCCUUUAAUGAAGAGGAGCUUCCUAUCCUACCCUGACUCUUUGGAGUGGUAAUGGUUCUGUACUCCAUGUUUAAAUGCUACUUUGCAAAGAUAUGAAGAGCUUUAUGUACAUACUAGGAGUCACAAAUAUUAUAAGCAAGAUGUGUAGAUCAACAUUUGUUUUUAUAGAAAUUGAUUUUGCAAAAAAUUGUGCAAUUUUUGGGCACAGUUUAUCUAUGUACAGGCUGGGUUUCAAUUUUAUAUACAUUUAUUGACUAUAGAUUUUGACUUUGAAGUAUCAAGUCAUUGAUACCUAGUUAUUAAACAAUGCUCUUAUAAUUGGUUUUACAUAUUGCAACUCAGUAAAUUAUCAGAUAGUUAUUAAACAAUGCUCUUUUAGUCAAUAAAUCUCACUUUAAGGAACACUACUUUAUUAUAGUUGGUAUUAGAGUUUAUUCUCAGAUAUAUUAUUCGGUCAAUUAGCUUUUAAAAUUUAUUUUCUUUUGAGAUUUACGAUUUUAUGGCAGCUGUACUAGUAAGCCCUAAUUGUUCUCUUCGUUAAGAAAAUAUAACUGAGUUGAUUCAGAUUUGACAAGAUCCAUGCACUUAGCAUGCUUAGAGCAUUUCCUUUAAUCUCUGAAACAGCUUAGAGACUAGCUGUAAAAUGUUUUUUAAUAGGCUUCAUUGUUGAGAAACAUUAAAGUUUCUUUCAUUUUUUAGGUGCAAUUGUUAUAGAUGGUUGUAACUUGCACCUAUUUUAGCAUGGUCACUGCAGAGUAUCCAGGCAAGUAAUGUUUGAGUCAUUUGCUUAAUUAUAGACUAUUUGAACUUCUACUCUUCCAACUGAAUAUCACCAUUUCUUCAAUGAAAAACCUGUCCAAUCAUAUGAGCAAUGACCUGAUACCUUAUCCGUUUUCCUCAACUCACCCCUUCAAAUGUCAUCAAUAUAUACUCAUGGCUUUUCCAAUUGUUGAUGAGGUCGUACUUCUUCCAUACAAGCUUGUUUACUUAACAACUAGGCGAACUUUGAGCAAUUCAGACAACAGUAGAGCAUUCCUAGGAGUCUAACUGCAUUGGCCAUUACUACAACUGGCAUUUCUAUCCUACAACGCACUGCCAAUUAUACCCACUCCUUACACUUUAUUCUCAAAUUAUUAUAUUUAAGCUCUCCUAGCUUUUCCAAUAAUACCUUCGUCUCCUAAUACCUAGAGGAAGUGAGGAACUGUGUUUCCUUUUUGUUCUAAUCCAGUUGCAACUUCUUUAAUCUGUUGAUCUACAAAUUUGUGGUUCCAAAGAUGAUAUAUGAAACAGAGUGAUGUGACCCAAAAUUCUCACAGAUUAUGGAUAGAUAAAAAAGGAAUAAAUCUAUGAAUCAACAUCUAGGGUUGCUUGGAGUCAGUAUCAAGCAUAAAAACAUACCUAAAAAUUGGGAGUCAAUUCUUUGGAUUGCUUGAAAUCAACACUAAUCUAUAGGGGGAAAUUUUCAAAAAAAAAAUUAUUUCUCAAGCAAAACGAAACAUUAAUAAAUCCUGGGGCUUUAAACAGGGUUCUCAAGGUACAUUAAGAAAGGAAAGAAAAUAACUGCAUAAUAAAAAUAAAAAACUUCAUAAUCAAGUGACUAUAGAAAAUAAAUCAUAGUCAAUGAAAAUAGAAACAACUAAAAUUUAGCCUAAAAAGUCUUGAUGUUCAUUAGCACCAAUCAAAAUUAAUUACAAUUAAUUAGGUUGAACUUUUGUGUUGUUUUGUCUAAUCUCUUCAAGCUUUCAUCUUGGCCAUUUGAUCUUGCUUGAUUGCAAAUAUUUGUUAGGUGUAUUGGUCCUGAUUACCCCUGCUUAUUUCAAUGAUCCAUUCUUUCUAUUUCAAGGUCAAAAAAAAAAAAAAAUGAAAAAAAAAAGAUAUGGAAGGUCAAACUAGGUUGUCAUUUUUCUUUUUUGGUAGAAUAACUAGGUCUUCUUCAAUUGUAUUUACUGUAGAGAUUUAGCUUUAAAUUUUAUGAAUUAUAUUGAAUUAUGAAUUUCAUGUUCUGGAGGGUGAGGAUGACUGAAUCAUCCUUAAGAAGAUUAAAUUCCCUUUGGUAUUUAAGCUUUUAUAUCGAAAAGGUUUUCUCAGCCUUUUGUUCAUUGAAAUAGUAAGCAAAGAUGGAGAUUCUUUUGAAAUUAGCUAUAUAAAUAACUUAAGCUGAUAUCAUGAAUAAAAAUCUUUUUUUUUUUUUGGCUGCAGAGGAUAUGGCAUAUAAGAAUUCAAUGAUGAGUUGGCAAAAAAUGCAAAAAGGCUUCAAAGGGCGGUUGCAGAUGUGUGGUGUGGCACUAUGUUUGGGACAAGAGUGGGUCAUGGAAUUAGAUAAUUUAGGUGGUGUCAAGAAGGCUCAAGCCAUGUACAUGAAGCUUGAUGUGGUGUUCUGGAUGGCCGAGCAAAUGAGGAAAUGA
rnacentral:sRNA from 1 species